UAGGAAAGCAUUAUGAAUGUUUUCCUAUGUGACCGGCUGAAUGCGCGCGCAGCUCUUGCCGCGCGUGCACAUACAGCCGACGGGGAGGAGAAGAGGAGGAUCGGAGGAGGAGAGCUCUCCGCCCAGCGCUGGAAAAAGGUAAGUUUUACCCCUUUUCCCCUUUCCAGAGCUGGGCAGGAGGGGGUCCCUGAGGGUGGGGGCACCCUCAGGGCACU